rnacentral:ncRNA from 1 species
ACACCGGUUCUUUUAAGAACCACCACCAAUUUUACAAAAAAGAAUA